rnacentral:rRNA from 1 species
AAGUCGAACGAUGAAGCCUAGCUUGCUAGGUGGAUUAGUGGCGAACGGGUGAGUAAUACGUGAGUAACCUACCUUUAACUCUGGGAUAAGCCUGGGAAACUGGGUCUAAUACCGGAUACGACCAAUCUCCGCAUGGGGUGUUGGUGGAAAGCGUUAUGUAGUGGUUAUAGAUGGGCUCACGGCCUAUCAGCUUGUUGGUGAGGUAACGGCUCACCAAGGCGACGACGGGUAGCCGGCCUGAGAGGGUGACCGGCCACACUGGGACUGAGACACGGCCCAGACUCCUACGGGAGGCAGCAGUGGGGAAUAUUGCACAAUGGGCGCAAGCCUGAUGCAGCGACGCCGCGUGAGGGAUGACGGCCUUCGGGUUGUAAACCUCUGUUAGCAGGGAAGAAGAGAAAUUGACGGUACCUGCAGAGAAAGCGCCGGCUAACUACGUGCCAGCAGCCGCGGUAAUACGUAGGGCGCGAGCGUUGUCCGGAAUUAUUGGGCGUAAAGAGCUUGUAGGCGGUUUGUCGCGUCUGCUGUGAAAGGCCGGGGCUUAACCCCGUGUAUUGCAGUGGGUACGGGCAGACUAGAGUGCAGUAGGGGAGACUGGAACUCCUGGUGUAGCGGUGGAAUGCGCAGAUAUCAGGAAGAACGCCGAUGGCGAAGGCAGGUCUCUGGGCU